GCUAUUGGAAGUUUGAUCCUGGCUCAGGACGAACGCUGGCGGCGUGCUUAACACAUGCAAGUCGAGCGGAAAGGCCCCUUCGGGGGUACUCGAGCGGCGAACGGGUGAGUAACACGUGAGCAACCUGCCCCAGACUCUGGGAUAACCCCGGGAAACCGGGGCUAAUACCGGAUACUCCGACCGGAUCGCAUGGUCAGGUCGGGAAAGCUCCGACGGUCUGGGAUGGGCCCGCGGCCUAUCAGCUUGUUGGCGGGGUAGCGGCCCACCAAGGCGACGACGGGUAGCUGGUCUGAGAGGACGGCCAGCCACACUGGGACUGAGACACGGCCCAGACUCCUACGGGAGGCAGCAGUGGGGAAUCUUGCGCAAUGGGCGAAAGCCUGACGCAGCGACGCCGCAUGGGGGAUGAAGGCCCUCGGGUUGUAAACCUCUUUUUGGAGGGACGAAGCGAAAGUGACGGUACCUGCAGAAGAAGCUCCGGCUAACUACGUGCCAGCAGCCGCGGUAAGACGUAGGGAGCGAGCGUUGUCCGGAUUCAUUGGGCGUAAAGCGCGCGUAGGCGGCCUCGCAAGUCGGUUGUGAAAUCCCGGCGGCUCAACCCCGGGACUGCGUCCGAUACUGCGGGGCUGGAGGUAGGUAGGGGAGAUCGGAAUUCCUGGUGUAGCGGUGAAAUGCGCAGAUAUCAGGAGGAACACCGGUGGCGAAGGCGGAUCUCUGGGCCUUACCUGACGCUGAGGCGCGAAAGCUAGGGGAGCGAACAGGAUUAGAUACCCUGGUAGUCCUAGCCGUAAACGUUGGGUGCUAGGUGUGGGCGGAUAUCGACCCCGUCCGUGCCGAAGCUAACGCAUUAAGCACCCCGCCUGGGGAGUACGGCCGCAAGGCUAAAACUCCAAGGAAUUGACGGGGGGCCCGCACAAGCGGCGGAACAUGGGGGCUUAAUUCGAUGCACCCCGAAAAACCUUACCUGGGCCUUGACUUGCCGGGGUAAAGCCCGGUGAAAACCCGGGCCUCUUCCGGAGCCUCGCACAGGGGGGGGCAUGGGCUGUCCUCCACCUCCUGGCCCGGAAAGGGUUUGCCCUUAAAGGGGGCCCAACCAAGGCGCACCCCUUGGUCCCCUAAUUUUCCACCCGGGGUGGAAACCCGGGAAACCCUUAGGGAAGACCUGCCCGGGUGCCCAAACCCCGGAAAAAAAAAGGGGGGGAGAGAAGGGGGCCAAGCCCCCAAUC
rnacentral:rRNA from 1 species